rnacentral:rRNA from 1 species
GAUGAACGCUGGCGGCGUGCCUAAUACAUGCCAGUCGAGCGAACGGACGAGAAUCUUGCUUCUCUGAUGUUAGCGGCGGACGGGUGAGUAACACGUGGAUAACCUACCUAUAAGACUGGGAUAACUUCGGGAAACCGGAGCUAAUACCGGAUAAUAUUUUGAACCGCAGGGUUCAAAAGUGAAAGACGGUGUUGCUGUCACUUAUAGAUGGAUCCGCGCUGCAUUAGCUAGUUGGUAAGGUAACGGCUUACCAAGGCAACGAUGCAUAGCCGAGCUGAGAGGGUGAUCGCCCACACUGGAACUGAUACACGGUCCAGACUCCUACGGGAGGCAGCAGUAGGGAAUCUUACGCAAUGGGCGAAAGCCUGACGGAGCAACGCCGCGUGAGUGAUGAAGGUCUUCGGAUCGUAAAACUCUGUUAUUAGGGAAGAACAUAUGUGUAAGUAACUGUGCACAUCUUGACGGUACCUAAUCAGAAAGCCACGGCUAACUACGUG